rnacentral:rRNA from 1 species
UGGGGAAUAUUGCACAAUGGGCGAAAGCCUGAUGCAGCGACGCCGCGUGAGGGAUGACGGCCUUCGGGUUGUAAACCUCUUUCAGUAGGGACGAAGCGCAAGUGACGGUACCUGCAGAAGAAGCACCGGCUAACUACGUGCCAGCAGCCGCGGUAAUACGUAGGGUGCGAGCGUUGUCCGGAAUUACUGGGCGUAAAGAGCUCGUAGGCGGUUUGUCACGUCGUCUGUGAAAUCCUAGGGCUUAACCCUGGACGUGCAGGCGAUACGGGCUGACUUGAGUACUACAGGGGAGACUGGAAUUUCUGGUGUAGCGGUGGAAUGCACAGAUAUCAGGAAGAAAACCGAUGGCGAAGGCAGGGCUCUGGGUAGUAACUGACGCUGAGGAGCGAAAGCAUGGGUAGCGAACAGG